rnacentral:rRNA from 1 species
UACGGAGGGUGCGAGCGUUGUCCGGAAUCACUGGGCGUAAAGGGCGCGUAGGCGGCUGGGGAAGUCCGUGGUGAAAGCUCGUGGCUCAACUGCGAGUCGGCCAUGGAUACUCCUCGGCUUGAGCACUGUAGAGGCAGGUGGAAUUCCGGGUGUAGCGGUGGAAUGCGUAGAGAUCCGGAAGAACACCGGUGGCGAAGGCGGUCUGCUGGGCAGUAGCUGACACUGAGGCGCGACAGCGUGGGGAGCAAACAGG